CAGAUAUUAGUUUUAUUAAAAUUUUAAUUUUGGAGAUUAAAGAUGGGGGCUUCCUUAUAUCUGA
rnacentral:tRNA from 1 species